UGCAUUCACUACUGUAAGUCACUUUGGAUAAGAGCGUCUGCUAAAUGACUGAAA
rfam:Salmo salar isolate Sally breed double haploid chromosome ssa05, whole genome shotgun sequence.